rnacentral:rRNA from 1 species
CAAUAGCGUAUAUUAAAGUUGUUGCAGUUAGAACGCUCGUAGUCGGAUUUCGGGGCGGGCCGACCGGUCUGCCGAUGGGUAUGCACUGGUCGGCGCGUCCUUCCUUCCGGAGACCGUCCCUACUCUUAACUGAGCGGGGGCGGGAGACGGGACUUUUACUUUGAAAAAAUCAGAGUGUUUCAAGCAGGCAGCUCGCUCUUGCAUGGAUUAGCAUGGGAUAAUGAAAUAGGACUUUGGUGCUAUUUUGUUGGUUUCGAACACCGAAGUAAUGAUGAGAAGGGACAGUCAGGGGCACUCGUAUUCCGCCGAGAGAGGUGAAAUUCUCAGACCAGCGGAAGACGAACCACUGCGAAANGANNNGCCAGGGAUGUUUUCACNGA